rnacentral:tRNA from 1 species
CAAGUUAAAGCUUUAUUAAGCAUUUUAGUUACAUUAAAAAGAUAAAUUGUGGAACAAUUUAAUUUGA